rnacentral:rRNA from 1 species
UACGGAGGAUGCAAGCGUUAUCCGGAUUUAUUGGGUUUAAAGGGUGCGUAGGCGGGUAUUUAAGUCAGUGGUGAAAGACUGUUGCUCAACAAUAGCAUUGCCAUUGAUACUGAGUAUCUUGAGUGUAGAUGAGGUAGGCGGAAUGUGUAGUGUAGCGGUGAAAUGCUUAGAUAUUACACAGAACACCGAUUGCGAAGGCAGCUUACUAAUCUACCACUGACGCUGAGGCACGAAAGCGUGGGGAUCAAACAGG